GCCUGGGUAGCUCAGGGGUAGAGCAGUCGACUGAAAAUCGACGUGUCGGUGGUUCAAAUCCGCCCCCGGGCA
rnacentral:tRNA from 2 species